ACUGCUUCAACUUUCUUGAGAAAUUAACCACAGGGAGGGUAAGGCAGGCAAUACAAAGGGAGUGCAAUUUUUACUUCCUCUGUGUCUUCCUCUUUUUGUCUCCCACCCAAACCGUCAUAUGGCUCCUUCUGUUGGCCGCACGUAAACUAUAAAGCGUCGCUGAAGAAUGCCUCAACAGAUUGCCAUCACCAUACUGUCUGAAACUGCUGAAAUAAAACACCUAACAGCAGAUCCAGAUUUGGGAGUUUUGCAAGUUGGGAAUAAUGGCAAUGACACAGGCAUGGGCAGCAAAGCUUCCUGCAGGCCCAGUGAGAAUAUGCAAACUGAGUUCAGAGGCCCCAGAGAAGGAAGAACCUUCUUGCUAUCCUGAACGAGCUAGAAGAGCAACAGCGGUGUUAUCGUUAUUAAGACAGGCAUUAAUGCACGGUCCAACUCAGGAAGCAAAUGAAUGACUAUAAGCUUGGAAUAAUAAAGAUUCAUCCCUGCGAUAGACUGGCCACCUGUCCAGGGUGUACCCCGCCUCUUGCCCUGUGACAGCUGGGAUUGGCUCCACCCCCACCGUGAUCCUGGAUUGGAUAAGAAAGCGGAUGGAUGGAUGGAUGGAUGGAAGGAUGGAUGGAUUAAGAAACAACAGAGAAACUCCAGAACUCACAUAUUGAGAUGUUUAUUUGAUUUAUUUUAUUUUUUUAUUCUGCUCCGAAAAGAAAAUCACAAAUAAAAAUCACUUCAAAACUGCAGGAUUUGAAUGGAUAAAACACUUGAAUUCACAUUGUUUUUCCUUUUUGCUUUUUACUUGACAGCUUAACAGUUUCUCUAACAAUGAUAAGACAUAAACACAACAUCUUUAUACCCAAUUCUUUCUACAGUGCAUUUCAUAUGUGACUCCCUUCUAAAAAAAAAAAGAAAUACAGAUGUUGAGAGCACAGUCCUUGUGGUGCUUAUAAUCAGUACGUAGCAGUGUGCCUAAUGAUCAGCGUUACCUCUGAAAUUGAAACCUAACGUGAACUAAAGAUCCCCGAACCUGCAGGAUAAAGCCGGGUGGGGGGACGGGAGAGAGUAGGGCUUGGCCUUCCCUCAUUACCAAUACUGAUGUGCCUUUGAGCAAUUCACUGAACCCACGUUGGAGCCACUUAGUGGCUGACAGAACAGACUGGUUGCCCUUGGGGCAGCUUCCAGGUGUGACUAUGAGUAAUCGUGUGAGUGUGGUCAGUGUUGGAAAUCAUCUGAACCACUGAAUCAUUAAAAAUAACAUCAAAUAAAAUAAAAUCUUGCGUAUUCAAUGAUCAAUUUAUUAAUCACAGUGCUAUUGAUCAUCUAGUGAGUGCCAGAAUUAAAGUUUACGCAUUAUUUUUCAUGAAAUACUGAGCUUCCGCUUCGUUUGUUUCUGUUUCAUAAAUAAAUAGCCUCCAAUAAGAAAUAUAAAAACACUUGUAACA